ACUAAUGUAAUUUAAUUUUAUAUGGUAAUACUCUGUAAUAACUAAAUCCAAAUACAAGAAAUACCGUUUGUACUGAAAGAAAAAAAAUAAUGAUUAUUUUUUUUUUAUUGACGGGUAGGAUUACAACAUAUGUGAAAAGGGCUGUUACUAGGGAAAGCAAUAGGGCUCUGCCAAUGUACUGACAAUUUUGUUUCGAGCCCAUGCAUGUAGCAGUGCUGUAGGAGAGGACAAUAUGAUUUGGACAACGUUUAUGAAAUAUCCUUUUUUUCAGCAAUAAAAGUCUCAUGCAAUUUUAUUAUACGAUCAAAAUAAACUACAUUAAACAUUGCUAUUAUGGUUCCCAUUACUGGGUCAUUUUAUGUUCAUGUGUAAAAUUUAUUAAAAUAAACAAAAUUGUUGCGUGGAACUAGACGAAAUAAUUUGCAUCGGGGCUCGUAGUCAAUACGGGAAAAGAAGUUUGGUAGAGAACUGUAUUAGCAUUCUGCAAAACUAAUUUGAUAAUUUCAGUUCUGGUUGGGGCGCCUCGCAAAUAUUAUAACCGUACAUAGACCGACAUCACAAAUCCAAGUAGACUGCUAUUAUACCAAAGUUACUCUCGUCAAGUCUUUCUUAACUAGAAUAAUCUUCAUUUGGUUUGGUCGCAUGCAGUAAAUCAGCCAUUGGUUUGCUGAAAAAUGCCAAUACCCGACGCAUUACCUUAUGGAAUAUCUGAGGUCAUUGAACCUCAAUGCCGCUUAUCUUCAAUAGCAACCGAAAUAUAUUAUUGAUAAGAAAUAGACGAUUUAUACCAUCUUAACCCCAAAAUAUUAUUAGUUUAUCCUAACUGUUCCAUCAUCAUCAUGCCUCAUCAUGUAACUUGACCACAAGGUACCUUUUCAUUACAUACAAAUUAUUGGUCUUUUUUAAGAUUAUUAUGACGAAGAACUAAUUAAAUUGGGGGCAGUUUAAUGUAAAUU